UACGUAGGGGGCAAGCGUUGUCCGGAAUUAUUGGGCGUAAAGAGCUCGUAGGCGGUUUGUCGCGUCUGCUGUGAAAACUGGGGGGCUCAACCCCCAGCCUGCAGUGGGUACGGGCAGACUAGAGUGCGGUAGGGGAGAUUGGAAUUCCUGGUGUAGCGGUGGAAUGCGCAGAUAUCAGGAGGAACACCGAUGGCGAAGGCAGAUCUCUGGGCCGUAACUGACGCUGAGGAGCGAAAGCAUGGGGAGCGAACAGG
rnacentral:rRNA from 1 species